UGGAGAUGUGGGCCGCAGAGCUGCGAGGCCGGCGCUGUGCGGAUUCCCUAAACGCCGCACUUGCGCACAGCCCCUUACGUAACUGUCAGCGCCGGGGAUUCCCUAGAGGGGGUCAUUCUAUUCAACCAUUACACACACCCCGGGCUGCUGCCGCCGCGCCGCCGCCGCCUCACAAAAUGGCGGCGCCCAUAGAGGAGACAGCGGCCGCCUCCUCGGCCCCAUUUUGUGGGAGGCGAGAGAUCUGUCAACAUGGAAUACCUCUGCUGAGGAUGCAUCCGAGUUUGGAAAUCCUGAUGAAGAGAUGGAGCCGAAGGGAAUCUCGUUCAACGGAAAAUGUCAACGACUUCUAGCACCUCCACGCUUUUUAAAAAAAAUUAUUAUUUUCAUUUUCUCGAAGAAAGCGCCAGAAGCCGCCGGGGGCAAAGCUGCAUUUUUCUGCAGGCUACGUCUCAAUCACUAAGUUCCAUGCCCUGCCGCACCCGAAUGCUAGUUCUGGUGUGUGCAUUACCAAGAUACAGUUUCGGAUCCUGUCUGUUCCUACUGAUGUUCUUUAUAUUUAAUAAAUUUAGUGACCACUAACCAGUCUGUAUCUCUUGCCAGAAUACCCACCGUAUCUUAGCACCCAAGUACCCAGAGUAUUUUUUUAUGGGAUUGCACUAACAGUAACCCUAGAGAAUAGUAUUACGUUUCUUUGUACCAUACUGCAUUUCCUAUAGUGGGCAGCAUAGAGCAGGUGGAUCCUGGAAGAAAAUGAUAGAGAAGUGCAACAGUUUUACAAUAUUCUUUAAUAUUCUCUAAUUUGAUGAUGUAAAUAAAAUAUAAUUCAUAGUUUUCAAGCAUCAAUAGAAAUCAUUCCUAUAAAAAGUACCAGUGACAGUGGAAAUUGUUGAAACUCAAUUUGUAUAGUUUACUGUUCUGAUGAGAAAUGUUGACAAAGCCUUUUUGAUGUGAAAAAAUGCAAAAAGUGUGGUUUUUAAUUGUAACUGCAAACCCUACACAUCAUAAUUACAAGUUUGUUAUUUUAUAUGCCCCUCUGAUCCUUAUAAUCAGUUUUAAUGUUAUAUAAAACUUAAAAAACUAAACCAAAUUUCAAAUCAAGCAUGUCAGGUUACAACAGCUGAACUACCUUAAUUGAGGAAUUGGUACAUCGAUUCACUGGAGACAUUUUUGGAUUUUAAGUUACUCUAUGGUUUAAAAGAAUUGGUUGAACAAGGCAGUUGAACUUAAAAGUUUUAUGUCUUUAAAGAUGAUCUUAAGAGGAAAGGAAUUGUUGGUAAGAUAAGAGAAUGCUUUCACCUUUUGCUGCUCUUGCCCGUGUCUACUGCUGUACUUUUUUAUGUGGGCUAACUUGUCUUGUUUGAACCUUUGAUUAUAAUAUCAAAUCAUAGAUAAGGUCUUUCUUCAUGAUAGCAACUCUUAAGGAUUACUUGUAACUACGCUUUUAAAAAGUGAGGACAUAGUUUAUUCUACUGCAGGUUAAGGUUUUAAGUAGAUAUUCUGAAUUUGCAGUGGACAGACUUUUGAGUGGUUUGUUCCUAAAGGGUCUGAUAAGUUUUGGGAUAUUUCUUUGUUGUAAUUUCUUUUCAAUAGAUAUUAAAGGCUAUGCUUUGUACAUAAAUCCAGUGUAGUAAGACUUAAUAAUUUAAAAAACUAUAUUUUAGCCAAUUAUAGUGUUCUUUUGAGAGGCAUCCCCAAAUGUGCUUUUCACAGGGAGCUGUUCUCAUUAGGUCAGUUACCUAAUCUUGAAUUUUUUUAAUUGUUACGGGUUUAAGGUGCUACAUUUGUGCAUUGUUAUUUAUUUCAUCUAAUUUGGUCACUAAAAAAGAACAGUAGGCCCCAAACUAACUGUGCUCUUUAUAAAGCACCACAGUUUUUACUAAUUUAAUGGUUUAUAGUAUUCUAAAAGUUAUGAAAACUAGGAGAGCAUAAAUACUAAACCAAGGAAAUAAUUAUUUUUUAUCAAUGCAGUUUACUAAGUCAGUGAAUAAAUACUUAUUGAAUGCCUACAUUGGGCAAAAUGGGAGAGAGGGCGAGAGAAAUUGACUUAGCCCUCAAGGAAAUUAUACUCCAGUAUACUAGAUUUUUCUUAACUGCUAGCUUUAGAAGAUUAUAACAAAAUAUUCAGACCAUAGAGUUCUUAAUUUUUAACACUUAAGCAGGAUGUUUAGCAUAGAGUUAAAUUCAAAAUUCUGCUUAGAAUAGAGACAUUUAAAUAUAAUUACGUACAAAAUUAUAUUACUGUUAGGAUCAGUGUAGUAUUACUGUUAUUCAAAGUGCUGUAAAAAUAUUAAUAGCAGCAUUUAAAUCACAUCCUUUGAAAACUCAGAUCCACAAAAAAUAUGAUUCCAGUAAUUAACUUUUUAAUUAUGGGAAAAGCAAGGGAGUGUAAAAAAUAUACUACUGAGCAAACGAACAGGAAUUGUUUUAAUGAAAUUUGAUUUUCUGUUUCAAUUUUUUGGUACAUUGACUCUUCUGACAUUGCACUUUGCUAUUAAUUUAAAAAAAUUAAACUCCAAAGACACAUUAAUUCUGUAUUUAAUGCAAAUUUAAUUCUUGACUAGCUGUAAAGCUUAAAGAGUUGGCAGUCUUGUUGGUGAAACAAUAAAAUAGGAAUUAGGCUGAAAUGCAAAACUAUGUAAUAAUUAGGUUUCAUAAAUACAUAUAUAGGUUUUCCUCUAUAGCUGUAUGAAUCAGAGAAGUAUUGACUUAAUAAUAAUUUGUUUAGUUUUUGUUUUUCUCUGAAAACAUACCACAAACUGCAUGUCAAAAUUGAAAGUCAACCAGAGCCAGUGUGAAUUGUUGAGGCUUAUUGCCAUCCAUUAAGGGAAAUUCUAACCAAAGGUUUAGUGGCAACAAUUUUAAAGGUGCCAUGGUUCUUUGACAUAAUUUGUGGUAUGUAGAACUCAAAAACAUUCUAGAAUAAUCUGUGUGUGAUAAUGUACAUGAGAAAUACUAUCUGUUCUUUGGGGGCAUAAAAUACCUGACUUAAUAUUUACAUGUAACUACAAUGCUUGCAGGUGUUUUAAACAAAAAUGAAAAUUUUAAGCGUGUUGCACUA